rnacentral:lncRNA from 1 species
CAGUAUCCACGCCCGUUGGCUUCCAAGAAUGUCUGAAGCAACUUCCUGAAAGAAUUUGGGUUUGUGUUCAUGAGCCUGUUCAACAUCUCUUCGUCUUGAAUGAAGGUUGUGUUGGCUUCUUCGUACACCCAAUUAUCAACUUGUCCUGAAGUUGCACUCCACCCCACUGUGUUAGUUAAUCGUUUCUCAAUCUCACGAACACCCUCGUAGCCAGUUGAAAGCAUGCCUUCAUACCACUUUGGGUUCAACAACUUUGUCCUCAGAUCUUGAAUGAAGGUUGUGUUGGCUUCUUCAUAUACCCAAUUAUCAACUUGGCCUGAAGUUGCACUCCACCCCACUGUGUUAGUUAAUCGUUUCUCAAUCUCACGAACUCCCUCGUAGCCAGUGGAUAGCAUGCCUUCAUACCACUUU